rnacentral:rRNA from 1 species
GACGAACGCUGGCGGCGUGCUUAACACAUGCAAGUCGAACGUUGAAGCGCUUUCCUUUUUGGUUGGUGUGGAUGAGUGGCUAACGGGUGAGUAACACGUGAUUAACCUUCCCCCUUCUUCUGGAUAACCGCAUGAAAGUUUGGCUAAUACGGGAUAUUCUGCGCCUGCUUCUUGGUGGGUGUGGGAAAGAUUGUGCCUUUGGGUGUUUUCGCUGGGGGAUGGGCUCGCGGCCUAUCAGCUUGUUGGUGGGGUGAUGGCCUACCAAGGCGGUGACGGGUAGCCGGCCUGAGAGGGUGGAGGGUCACGUUGCGACUGAGACACGGACAAGACUACUACGGGAGGCAGCAGUGGGGAAUAUUGCACAAUGGGAGCAAGCCUGAUGCAGCGACGCCGCGUGAGGGAUGGAGGCCUUCGGGUUGUGAACCUCUUUCGCCAGUGAAGAAGGACUGCUCCAUGUGGGUGGGUUGACGGUAGCUGGACAAGAAGCGCCGGCUAACUACGUG